ACCUAAUGCUAUCUCAUUUCCUGUGUGAAUUUAGGUUUAGACUCAACUUUUUUCUAUUAUGUUCAACAUUUCUUCAUGUGAGGAAUCAAACAUUACUGAGGUGACUGAAUAUGAACUUCUUUCAGGGCUUAGUGAUUGUGGUAUUCUUCAUACUAGGAAAGACACACGGAGAUACAGUGACUCAGACGGAAGGUAAAGUGACCCUCUCAGAAGAAGACUUCCUGACUAUAAACUGCACUUACUCAGCCUCGGGGUACCCUGCUCUGUUCUGGUACGUCCAGUAUCCUGGAGAAGGUCCACAGCUCCUCUUCAGAGCCUCAAAGGCCAAUGAGAAGGGAACCAAGAAAGGGUUUGAAGCCACAUAUGUCAAAGACGCCUCCUCCUUCCACCUGCACAAAGCCUCAGUCCAAGAGUCAGACUCGGCUGUGUACUACUGUGCUCUGAGUGACACAGUGGCAGAAACCUCAGGAAGACCUGAGCACAAACUCAGCAGCAGGCGCCCAUCUGCUGAGCACCUGCCUCUGAGAUGGGCCUGA